rnacentral:tRNA from 1 species
CAAAAAAUAGUUUAAUGAAAAAUAUUAAUUUUGGAGAUUAAAGAUAUAAUAUAUAAUUUAUUUUUUUGA